GUCCUGUAGAGGCAUGGCCUGUGCCAUAUGGCAGACUGUGAUUUGUUGUCGAUUUAGUUAUCUAAAAACAACAAAAUCACUAGUCUUCCACACAGAACUAGACCAACAUCCACUGAAUCUUCUAUAUUUUCUACAGGCUCUGUAUAAUUUAUAACAAGUAGUUUUGGCAGCAGUUUUCACCAGAGAAAUGAGAGGUUUGCUUGGUUAAGGCUUCUUCCAGAAAGAUUAGUAUUAAAUGUCUUCGUUUUUUAGUAAGAAAGCAGAAGAAAAUUAAAGCAAAGCUAUUAGAGGGUUUAGAAGUUAGGUCUCCAAAAGGUUGAGACACCAUGGCUUCUAAAAGAAAAAUCAGUUGAGAAGAAAAGCUUUUUCAAGUUUUAGUAGGAGUAGGCUAACAUAAAGCUAAACAAACUGACCUGUUCUGCAGCAAAUACUGUGCAUUCUGUAUCUGGUCCUGUGUUCCUGUAAUGGUAAUGAUCCGAUCUUCGGACCCUUCUAAAGGCUCAUCAAUUUUGAUCGAAGCUCCUGAUUCAUGACGGAUUUGUUUAAUCCGCUGACCACCUUUGCCAAUAAUAGAUCCAGCCAACUGAAAAGAUUUUUUUUUAAAAACAAGUGUUUAUGAUGUACUUUCAAAGAAACCAUAUCAUCUUGUACUUUCAAUGACCAUCAGGACUGUUAACUUUGUACAACUUAUUGAUUAUGCUGUGUUAAUUCGAUGCCCCUCAAUUAUUGGAUUAUAAUGUAUUUAUACUACCCAUCAACAUUUCCUUUAAUAAAGGAACCAAGGGCUCAAAACUCUUUGUAAUUGCUUUUAGUAGUAUUGCACACCAUUUGACAAAGCUUAAACUGGAGAAUGACACCUCACUCAAGUCCUUAAAACACUGUUUUAAUCCUACAAUGGAAUAUUUUUGUUAAAACCUUUCACUUAAAGUCAGGAAACGUAAAAUGCAUUAAACAUCCCUUUAGUAUUAAAGAUACUUACAUCUUUGGGAAUAGUUACUUGUGUAGUAAUAAUAGAUGGAGGCAUGGGACGCCCUCCUCGACCAGGAGGCAUUCUGUCAAAACCACCUCUUCCCCGCAUGGGAAAUCCCACAGGACGUCCACGGCGAUCAUCAAACAUCAUUGUAAAGCCACCAUAAUCAUACGUUUAAUCAUAAAAAUUGGGAUCAUAAGGCUGAGCACGUCCUUUAAUGGGCGACUGAAACAAAAAAUAUAGCCAACAAAGAACCUUAGUUGGUAUCAACCAUUUUCUUAAAUACAUUUCAAGUUCUCUACAUUUCUCCUGGGAAGUACCCAAGAUAGGGACAAGAA
rnacentral:lncRNA from 1 species